UCUCUCUCUCCACUCGCCGCCUCGCCCCGCCCUGCCCGCACACACCACCUGUCCCCGCCCCGCUCCGCUCCCGAGGCUUAGGGCUCCGGCCGCGCUCCCCUCCCCUCACCGCAUUCCCGAUCUCGCCGCCGCCCGCCAGGCCUCGGCCUCGAUCGCCCUCCCCCCUCGCGCGCCGGCCGGGUCGGGUUGUCUCGUCGUUGGUGCCCGUUUGCCCCCCGCGAUGGUGUCGGGCGGGUGCGUGGGGCCGGAGGGGGAGGUGGGCCCGGAGGUGGCGGCGGCGGUGGCGGAAAGGGACGAGGCGGUGGCUCCGGCGCCCGCGAGGGAGCUCGUGGUGGGGUACGCGCUCACGUCGAAGAAGGCCAAGAGCUUCCUCCAACCCAAGCUCCGGGGGCUCGCCAGGAAAAAAGGAAUCUUAUUUGUCGCUAUUGAUCACAAACGCCCAUUGUCCGACCAAGGUCCAUUUGACAUUGUUCUUCAUAAGUUGACUGGAAAGGGUUGGCAGCAAUUGCUAGAGGAAUAUAGGGAAACACACCCAGAAGUUACUGUUCUUGAUCCACCUGGUGCAAUAGCACAUUUGCUCGAUCGCCAGUCCAUGCUUCAAGAAGUUUCUGAAUUGGACCUCACAGACCGUUACGGUAAAGUACGUGUUCCUAAGCAGCUAUUUGUUAAUACAGAUCCCUUGUCAAUACCAGCUGCAGUUACUAGGGCUGGACUAUCUCUUCCAUUAGUGGCGAAACCCUUGGUGGCAAAAUCUCAUGAGCUAUCUCUUGCUUAUGAUCCAACUUCAUUGACCAAGCUUGAGCCGCCCUUGGUUCUUCAGGAGUUUGUUAACCAUGGUGGCGUCAUGUUUAAGGUCUACAUUGUAGGGGAUGCAAUAAGGGUUGUACGUCGGUUUUCACUUCCUAAUGUUGAUGAAGGUGAUCUAUCAAAUAAUGCUGGGGUAUUUCGGUUUCCAAGGGUCUCUUGUGCUGCAGCCAGUGCAGAUGAUGCAGAUCUUGACCCUUGUGUUGCUGAACUUCCUCCAAGACCAUUGCUCGAGAUAUUGGCGCGAGAGCUGCGCCGACGGCUGGGUCUUAGAUUGUUCAACAUCGAUAUGAUCAGAGAGCAUGGAACAAGAGAUCGGUUUUAUGUUAUAGACAUGAACUAUUUUCCUGAGUAAUGCUCUGACACUCCUGUGAAAUACUGAAAAGAGGUAUAUCUGCUCCUUUUAUCAGCUCAAUAUAGUUGUUGAUGAUAGGGAUACUGAGCAUUUGAGGCACUAAACGAGUAUAUGAUGCAUUUGCUUGUGACAUUUGUACCAUGUGCCAUUUGUAAAGCUUUUAGAAACAGUUUGGAGUCCAAAGACUGGCUAGAACCUGGCACAUCGAAGUUAUGCCUGCUCACCGUGUAUUCUUGGUACGGCAAAAUGCCUGGGUACGAGCACGUGUUCACUGACUUUCUACUGAGUCUUUCCCAGAAAGAGUACAAGCGGCGACCAAGCUAUAGCUCAGGCGAAUGGUGAAAAUGCUGAAUGAGCCUUUUGGCCGGGUCACUGUUGAUAUGUCUAGCAUCCGCAAUGCGUGCGUACAGAUGUGCUUCUCCAUUCGUGGGAGAUGAUGAUGGGUGAUAGAGUUGGGCAUCAGUAGUUGCGAUAAAAAGCUUCGAGGACUGUUGUCAGGCUGUAAUUAACUUGCUGCUUCACAUUUGCUAACUGUUCAUGUCCUAGAAUAAUUUUGUUUCGCUCAGUGAUGGCUGAUGAAGUAGAGCUACCUGUAAAACUCACGGCUUGAAUCUCGAAAUAAGCGGGGCCGAUCUGCAUCAACAUUUUACUA